AAUGUGCCAGCUUCCUGGGAAAUGUCAGCAAGGGAAACACUUUCUGCUCCUGACGAAUUCUCUGAUUACUGGGGAAACAGAGGAAAAGGAGAUAAUGCUUCAAUCUGGCGGAACCAGCUGUAUAAUACUGACUGUUCAAGACUUGAGAAGCCCAAGAUCAUACUGAAAAUAUUUUUAAAUUAUCAAUACACAUCCCAGGCUAUGAUACUCAAUCAAUACUGUUGGUGUGCUGGGAUUGCAGAUAUGUGCCACUACAUCCAACAUUCCACAUGGGUUUUGGGCAUUGAACUUGGGUCUUCAGAUUUGCAUGGCUGCUAUGAUGCGAUCACCAUGUGCCUUUCAUAAGACCCAAACCAACAAGGGUAACCAUUGGUCAUAAGCUAAAAUCCUCAAAACUACAUGAUGGUGGAGUGGAAAUGGAAGCUUGAAAGACUGCUGGAACCUUCUGGGACCUUCAGGAAUCCUUCUGAAGAAUUCUCAUUUCUAGGGUACACUCCAAGAAUCAUGCAAAUACAGCUGGUUAAUCUUUUAACCUCCUGCAUCUUGAAAGAUUUCAGAGGUGUGUUGAUUGCUUCGUGGAGGUGGUGGCUUAUGGCCAUUUUAGUCUGUAUUAGCAACAGUUGGCUGGAGAUGACCUGGCUGCUUGGUACCAGCAUCUCGUGAAGAACAGUAGCUGCAUCUCCUCCCAUGUGCCGUGUGUUGCCCUUGAGUGCUGCAGAGACUAUAAAGCUCUCUCACUUUGGAGAAAGUUUUUUAAGUUGGAGAUGAGACUCAUGAUAGAGAAACGCUUGCCUUUGUUAGAUUGAUAGGACCUUGGUAGAAGAACCCAUUUUUGCCAGUUGCUGGCUAAUGUCCUGGUUAGGAAGAGUAAUAACCUCAUUAAUGAAUUACCUCUUUCUUGCAAGACAAAUUUGACUCAUUUCUUUCCUUAAAAGAUAGUGUCAUUGAUUAAAGGUGGCCAUUAGUGACCACGGAUGAAUGUGCCGGCCCCACCUUUGGAAGAUGGUUGAUGUUUACAUUUUCUGCUAGGAAGCGAACGAGUUCUCUGGAUAAAUCAGAACGCUUCUGAGUAAUCUACAGAGAGGCCUUCCAUUUCUAAAUAACUGUUAGUAGGGGGGGAGAGAAAUGAUUUAGUGCACAGUAAUGGAGACACAUGCUUAUAACUCCUUGAUGGGGAGUGGAGUUUGCUAACUCUGGGCUAAAUGAUAUGCAGGAUGUGCUGGCAGUGAUCAUCCUGUUGAGCAUGCAAUUCACAGGUAUGGUGAGCUCCACAAUCAUGUGUCUGACUGUAGUGAAGCACUUAACUAAAGCUCCAAAGCCAGAGCGGAAUCUAUCACACCAAUUUAGUAACUGAAAACCAAAGUCAAAUGCUAAUUUAAAAAAAAAAAGGCAUCAAAGUUUCAUUUUUGAAAAAGUCGACUGAACUAGGUCGGAUUAAAACUCGAGCCUAUGUAUUAUUAAAAUAAUUGAAUUGGGCUAUCAAAGUAUCAGGCUGAGGUUGAGUCAGAAUUCCAUAUGUUCUUGAUUAUAGAUAAGUUUCUCCUUUAUGAGCUAAAUUGGGCUGGUUGAGAGGGAACGACAGUUUCACUAUCAGACAACGAAAUGAUAGCACUGUGGUAGCCUUCAGAGUGAAGGUACAGAUGUGCCCAGAAUCACAAUGUCUGUCUGACUCUCCUGUGCUGACCGUGAGCCAUCGGCCCUUCCUUAACCUGCAGUGCCUGAGUCCAUCUCUUCAUUCUGUGGGGUGUCUUUGACUGAAUUUAAGGGUGGUCAUCGUAGCCAGCCAUAGGCUGACCUAUGAGGGAACCGUUCAGCUGAACUGGCGGUACUACUUCUCUGGGGGCACAGAGCCACAUCCUCCUGGCUGGGCUCUUUUUUUAUGAAUGGCAGAGGAAAUGUUUGCAAAGGACACCGUUCCAGCAUCCCCACCAGCUGUGCUGUAUUUUCUGGGUGAGGCUGAUUGCUUUUGGCCCUGCUAGUGCAGUGUUUUCCAUCAAGCUGGUCUCGGCUCUGCGGGGGUAUUUAUUAUGUGCCAUUUUCAAAAUAAAAGGGACGCGGAGCAAUCAUCCAGCAAAACCAUAAAACAUUUUAUUAUCCGAGACGGUGAGGGGACAGGUUUGACAUACAACACUGGGAACGGCAAUGGCCGAACAAUGUGGUACUAAAGUGUGAUUUAAUGAGGCUUGGAGGAUUUAGUUCAGUCAGAAAAGUUCCACUCUUGUCUUGGGCAUGGGGGAAGCUGAGCUGGCAUGGGCACCUGAAUAAGCAGCGUCAUGCUAGGUAGGCCACAGACAGCCACUGCUAUGUGCCUUGUUGUCCCAGACAACCAUUUUCAGGGAGACUUCAGUGAUAGAAACUUCUGGCUGAUUUAGUGGACCCCAAACUUGGCGCAGUUUCUUGGUGGCUUCCGUUUUACAAGGCCAGCAGUUAGUCUAACAAAAGCCUGAAUUCGUUUCCCUCUAUACCCAUUGAUUGCCAGCUGAGAGCUGGAUGCUGUCAACUCAACUUUUUUCUUCUUCUUCUUUUAAUUCUAUUUCUCUGGAAUUGAGGUCCUUUGCCCUCUCAUUAAAGACACUCUAUCAUCUUGGGCAACAUUUGUUUAUUUCUACUUUUCUUUUAGGGGGAAAAACUCAUUAGCAGAUGGUGGCUGGUUAUCAU
ensembl:lincRNA Gm6999 predicted gene 6999